CAGCCGCCACGGUAAUACGGAGGGGGCUAGCGUUGUUCGGAAUUACUGGGCGUAAAGCGCACGUAGGCGGCUUGGUAAGUUAGAGGUGAAAGCCUGGAGCUCAACUCCAGAAUUGCCUUUAAGACUGCCGAGCUAGCAGGUGAGAGAGGUAAGUGGAAUUCCGAGUGUAGAGGUGAAAUUCGUAGAUAUUCGGAAGAACACCAGUGGCGAAGGCGGCUUACUGGCUCAUACUGGACGCUGAGGUGCGAAAGCGUGGGGAGCAAACAGGAUUAGAUACCCCAGUAGUCCCUGUCUCUUAUAC
rnacentral:rRNA from 1 species